rnacentral:misc_RNA from 1 species
GCAAGCUGAGUAGACGUUUGGCAAGCUGGUUCCUUUGAGGAAGACAACGUGAUGAAGACCAGUAAACAAGAGUAUCAUUGUUCUUAUAAGGAGAAAGGUGAUAAUUCCGAUUGUUAUGAAAAAGUGCGCCCGCAUAGGUUGACUGGACAUCGUCUUCUGCAUGAUAGCCAAUAAAUAUAUCCUCAUACCCUGAUUUCUUUCUACCAGCUUCAAGAUCCAUGUAUACACGUAAUGGAUCACCUCGACGUCUCUCAACAGGAGGAGUAGCUGUCUCAAACAACAAAGCAUCAGGUUUAUCAGCAACAACCGAAGAUUUAGUCCACAAACAGCUAAGCCCACACCGACAAGAGUACAAAUUAUCCAAAUUAUCAGGAAUCCA